AUUCUCUGGGGCCAAUCCAACACAAGCUCUCAUAAUGUUUUCCAGCAUUGCACGCUGCUUUGACAAUGCAUUCACCACUGGUGUGCCCGGUGGAACCUGUGAUAGUUAUCUCUUGAGUUAAUUUGCAAACUUUUUGAGGAAAAUGAACACGGGAUAAAAGGGAAAUUCACUUUAACAAACUUCGAAAUUGGAGGGAUUGUAUCUCCAUAAUGAGCUUACUACAUAUGUUUCCCUAAACUUAAUUUCUAUUUAAAAAAUAAGCAUGUGGACUCAACAUUCAAUAAGAUUAGAUUAAACUCACUAGAGGAGCCUUGGUCAGGUAGCUGAGAAUGGUAGCAACUGGGUGGAAUGAGUGGAAUUUUCCCUGCAGCAACCACCACAACACAGUGAACUCCGAAGUCAGAAAAGCUACAAAUAAUACAAUGACCAACACAAUCAAGCAAUUAAAUUUAGCAAUGCAUGCAGACCUCCUUUUCAGCUUUGAACUGGAUACGAGUGCUAAGCUCAGCAAGAAGGACCAAGUCCAAUAUAAUAGGAGCAGCCAAGAGAGAAUCCUCGCAUGUAUUGUGCAGCACAAUGGUGUUCUUUCCACCCAUGAAUAUCUCUGAAGUGUACUCAUCCAUGGCUCUCUUGCU
rnacentral:lncRNA from 1 species